rnacentral:rRNA from 1 species
AUUGAACGCUGGCGGCAGGCCUAACACAUGCAAGUCGAGCGGAUGAAGGGAGCUUGCUCCUGGAUUCAGCGGCGGACGGGUGAGUAAUGCCUAGGAAUCUGCCUGGUAGUGGGGGAUAACGUCCGGAAACGGGCGCUAAUACCGCAUACGUCCUGAGGGAGAAAGUGGGGGAUCUUCGGACCUCACGCUAUCAGAUGAGCCUAGGUCGGAUUAGCUAGUUGGUGGGGUAAAGGCCUACCAAGGCGACGAUCCGUAACUGGUCUGAGAGGAUGAUCAGUCACACUGGAACUGAGACACGGUCCAGACUCCUACGGGAGGCAGCAGUGGGGAAUAUCGGACAAUGGGCGAAAGCCUGAUCCAGCCAUGCCGCGUGUGUGAAGAAGGUCUUCGGAUUGUAAAGCACCUUAAGUUGGGAGGAAGGGCAGUAAGUUAAUACCUUGCUGUUUUGACGUUACCAACAGAAUAAGCACCGGCUAACUUCGUG